AUGUUCCAUGUCUUGUGUUUCCUGUUUUUAUUUUGCAGUUUGCCUUUUGUCUGCAGAUCCCUUUACCUUCUGUGUCCCGCGUUUGUGAUUGCCCUGAUGUGUCUCACCUGUGUCUUGUUAUCCCCACGUCUUCACUGUAUUUAAUCCCUGUGUGACCUCCCUCCUGUGUCAGUUCGCCUUGUCUUUUUGUCAGCGUUCCGGCUAUCGUGUCUUGUAGACUUUGUGAAUUUUUGAAUUAAAAGUAAUUACCUUGAAUCCUGGAAUCUUGCCUUUUGGGGUUCAAUCCUGUGGUUAAGUGUGACAGUUCCCAAGAAGAUUUGUCGAUGAAAGGCUCCGCACUAUACUCAUGAUUGUUAUAUUGAAAGUGAUGAAUUAAUUACAAUUUUCUGUGAUACCCAUGUAAGUCCACUCGUAGCUGCAGCGUGUCUGGAGGACCCGGUGUCGGGAUGGAGGUAAGGCCCCUCUCCAGAACAUCCUGCUCCGCAGCUGACAAGACGAAGCCUGAACACAGUGCGUUGAUGAACCCUCAGCUCCCGAGUGGCGGGGCCCACGGGGCUCGGAGCUGCCUGCAUGGGGAGCCUCCACCUCCGUGAUGUCGGACACACCUCCAAUCCCCGGGGUCAACGCCUUUACGGGGCCCGCAGCCAGAGUGACGUCAGCAGUAACCUGGAUCAGCAUGUCUAUGUUAAGUACAGAAACAUUAACAGGUUUGAAUAUUGUAAUAUUCUGGAGAACCGUUUUGUCAAACUGUUCAACAUCUAACGUCACCUUAACGCCUUCUUUCCUGCGAGACAGACUUAAGCGAGGUGCUUGCUUCUCCCGCUGAGGGAGCGGAGCUGGAGAGCUCGCAGUUGGGGCAGAAGUGCCAGGAGGUGGGGAGAGGCUGCGUGGUGCAUCGGGCUCCUUCACCGGAGACCGUGCGGGCACCAAGGUGUCGCUAGAUGGCCGUUUCAGAGAGAGUGUUAUAUUGGACAUGAGGCAAUUUUCUUGUGAAAAAAUGUUGGGAAGUAGCUGUAAUGUAGCUGGAUUAAAGUGAAUACCGGCAACUACGAUGGGGUGUUUGGGAGGUGGGUGAAUGCUAUGUAUUUGUGGUGAUUGUGUCGUAUUGAUUUUUACAGGAGGAAUGGUGACUGGUUAAGCUGGAGGUAUCGGAGCUUGACCUGGGAUCCUCUGGUCCGGUUGUGCUGGAGGAGGCAUGGGUGGAAAAUCUACAGGAGAGAGAAGAGCCGGAUUGCGUGUGGUUGUGUGUCUGGUCGGAUCUACCAGGGAGGAGGGAGGGCUACUCUCACACUCACCCGUCGCCUGGGUGGUCAAGACCUGAAAGCGGUUCUGUAUUGGAAUCGCCAUGUUGGUCCUGGUCAAGGGGAUGGCAGGUAACGUACAAUCUCCUAUGUCCAAUUAAAAGACAAGCAGUGUGGUUAAAAUAAGUUAAACUGGUAAAAGAAAGCAGGUAACCCAAUUGAAAUGAUUAAAAAGGAGGAAAAUUGGUGAGAAAUGUUAUAAAGAUUGUUAAAAAGCUCAAGAUUUUAUUGAAGAAUGACAAAAAAGAGGGUUAAAAUA